rnacentral:rRNA from 1 species
AGCGAACGCUGGCGGCAGGCCUAACACAUGCAAGUCGAACGAAGUCUUCGGACUUAGUGGCGGACGGGUGAGUAACACGUGGGAACGUGCCUUUAGGUUCGGAAUAACUCAGGGAAACUUGUGCUAAUACCGAAUGUGCCCUUCGGGGGAAAGAUUUAUCGCCUUUAGAGCGGCCCGCGUCUGAUUAGCUAGUUGGUGAGGUAAAGGCUCACAAAUGCGACGAUCAGUAGCUGGUCUGAGAGGAUGAUCAGUCACACUGGGACUGAGACACGGCCCAAACUCCGACGGGAGGCAGCAGUGGGGAAUCUUGCGCAAUGGGCGAAAGCCUGACGCAGCCAUGCCGCGUGGAUGAUGAAGGUCUUAGGAUUGUAAAAUUCUUUCACCGGGGACGAUAAUGACGGUACCGUAAGAAUAAGCACCGGCUAACUACGUGCCAGCCGCCGCCGUAA